AAGAGAACAUAAUAUGGUAAGGUAAAUUGAACAAACCAUUACAUUUACAUUUUUAUGAUUAUUAACAUAUGUCGCUGGAUUUUUGCUUCUGUUUUUCAAGAUGGAUGUAGGCUAUUCCUAUUAAAGCAGCUGGUACAACUAAAACAAGCUCAUUUCAAAUUAAUGAUAUAUCCUGAGUUGUUUUAGCUAUAAAAACAUGUUUUUGUCUCGUUAGAGGAGGAGACAGAUCAUUUUGGCUAUAUUGUCAGGUAUAGGACUAAUAAAUAUUUCACUUGAAUAAUUUUAUUUUUGGUUAAUGUUUCCCUCACAAAUGUUUUAAUUUAGCAUCGUUUUUUUUUUUUGUCAAUUUCAGCACUUCCUUUGGAAAACAGCCCUGAGACCAAGAAAGAAGAAAUGGAGACCAAAACACCUUCCUAGCUGUUGCUGUUUGAAGAGAUUUUCGUGAGAUUUCAUCAGAAAGGAAGACAUCAAACGUGAAUCUGCAUCUCAACAGUAAAAGCGGACCGGACGACAAAACAGACAGUGACGUCAACAGCACUCAUAUGAUGAAAUAUGUGUAUUUAUAUGAGUACCUCUCAGAUCUGACACAGCAACAUUUUAAAGAUCUUGCAGACCAAGACAAAGGAGCAACUUUUCUGUGAUGUCACAUGGGGCCUGUUUGGGGCAGUUCCCUUGGAAAAACAGCCCACUGUUCAAGACAAGACAACAACUGGCCAACUUAAUCAAGCCAAAACAUUAAAAUACAACAUACUCGUGUGUUUACUCAAAUCAUGUGAGUAUUUCAAAGAGUUUAAAGCCCAACUAAAGUGGAUUACUUGUAGCUAGAUGCUGUCUGCCCUGUUAUAGCUCCCCCUAGCAGCACCCUGCAUAUUUCCUUGUUCAUGCUAAGCAAGAUAUCCAUUUCCAACCCUAUACAGACACCAUGUAGGAGCUGUAAAAAACUAUAUACAGACAAAUAUAAGAGCCAAUGUGCAUCUAAAUGAUGCCAUCCAUCCUUUAGUGACCUUCCCAUUGGACAACACAGCUCC